AUUGAACGCUGGCGGCAGGCAUAACACAUGCAAGUCGAGCGAGCGGCGGAAGGGUGAGUAAUGUAUGGGAAACUGCCUGAUGGAGGGGGAUAACUACUGGAAACGGUAGCUAAUACCGCCUACAAUCACAGGUGCCCAGAUGGGGUUAGCUAGUGGGUGGGGUAAUAGCUCACCUAGGCGACGAUCCCUAGCUUGUCUGAGAGGAUGACCAGCCACACUGGAACUGAGACACGGUCCAGACUCCUACGUGAGGCAGCAGUGGGGAAUAUUGCACAAUGGGCGCAAGCCUGAUGCAGCCAUGCCGCGUGUAUGAAGAAGGCCUUCGGGUUGUAAAGUACUUUCAGCGAGGAGGCGUUACUCGCAGAAGAAGCACCGGCUAACUCCGUGCCAGCAGCCGCGGUAAUAC
rnacentral:rRNA from 1 species